rnacentral:rRNA from 1 species
GAUCCUGGCUCAGGAUGAACGCUAGCGGCAGGCCUAACACAUGCAAGUCGAGGGGUAGAGUUCUUCGGGACUUGAGACCGGCGCACGGGUGCGUAACGCGUAUGCAAUCUACCUUAUACAGGGGAAUAGCCCAGAGAAAUUUGGAUUAAUGCCCCAUAGUGUUAUAGAAUCGCAUGGUUUUAUAACUAAAGUUCCAACGGUAUAAGAUGAGCAUGCGUCCCAUUAGUUAGUUGGUAAGGUAACGGCUUACCAAGACAAUGAUGGGUAGGGGUCCUGAGAGGGAGAUCCCCCACACUGGUACUGAGACACGGACCAGACUCCUACGGGAGGCAGCAGUGAGGAAUAUUGGUCAAUGGGCGCAAGCCUGAACCAGCCAUGCCGCGUGAAGGAAGACGGUCCUAUGGAUUGUAAACUGCUUUUAUAUGGGAAGAAUAGCAUAGAUUCAUCUGUGUAUGACGGUACCAUAUGAAUAAGCACCGGCUAACUCCGUG